rnacentral:rRNA from 1 species
AUUGAACGCUGGCGGCAUGCCUUACACAUGCAAGUCGAACGGCAGCACGGGAGCAAUCCUGGUGGCGAGUGGCGAAUGGGUGAGUAAUAUAUCGGAACGUGCCCAGUAGUGGGGGAUAACUGCUCGAAAGAGCAGCUAAUACCGCAUACGACCUGAGGGUGAAAGGGGGGGAUCGCAAGACCUCUCGCUAUUGGAGCGGCCGAUAUCAGAUUAGCUAGUUGGUGGGGUAAAGGCCUACCAAGGCAACGAUCUGUAGUUGGUCUGAGAGGACGACCAGCCACACUGGGACUGAGACACGGGCCAGACUCCUACGGGAGGCAGCAGUGGGGAAUUUUGGACAAUGGGCGCAAGCCUGAUCCAGCAAUGCCGCGUGCAGGAAGAAGGCCUUCGGGUUGUAAACUGCUUUUGUCAGGGAAGAAAUCCUCUAGGUUAAUACCCUUGGGGGGAUGACGGUACCUGAAGAAUAAGCACCGGCUAACUACGUGCCAGCCGCCGCAGUAAAAC